rnacentral:rRNA from 1 species
AACUAUGCCUGGUCAGAACGAAGUCAGGGGAAACCCUGAUGGAGGUUCGUAGCGAUUCUGACGUGCAAAUCGAUCGUCGGAACUGGGUAUAGGGGCGAAAGACUAAUCGAACCAUCUAGUAGCUGGUUCCCUCCGAAGUUUCCCUCAGGAUAGCUGGCGCUUUUUGUAACCAGUCUCAUCCGGUAAAGCGAAUGAUUAGAGGCCUUGGGGCCGAAACGACCUCAACCUAUUCUCAAACUUUAAAUGGGUGAGAAGUCAAGCUUGCUUAAUCGAAGCUCUGACAAUGGAUGGUGAGUGCCAAGUGGGCCACUCUUGGUAAGCAGGACUGGCGCUGUGGGAUGAACCAAACGCUGGGUUAAGGCGCCCGAAUCGACGCUCAUCAGAUCCCAUAAAAGGCGUUGGUUGCUUAAGACAGCAGGACGGUGGCCAUGGAAGUCGGAA